GACGAACGCUGGCGGCGUGCCUAACACAUGCAAGUCGAGCGGGAACCUCAGGAGGGGUAACCCUCCUGAGGGGAGAGCGGCGAACGGGUGAGUAACACGUGGGCAACCUGCCCCGGACACCGGGAUAACCCAGGGAAACCUGAGCUAAUACCGGAUACUCCGGCGAGAUCGCAUGGUCGCGCCGGGAAAGCUCCGACGGUCCGGGAUGGGCCCGCGGCCUAUCAGCUUGUUGGUGGGGUAACGGCCCACCAAGGCGACGACGGGUAGCUGGUCUGAGAGGACGGCCAGCCACACUGGGACUGAGACACGGCCCAGACUCCUACGGGAGGCAGCAGUGGGGGAUCUUGCGCUAAUGCGCGAAAGCGUGACGCAGCGACGCCGCGUGGGGGAUGAAGGCCCUCGGGUUGUAAACCCCUUCCGGCAGGGACGAAGCGAAAGUGACGGUACCUGCAGAAGAAGUCCCGGCUAACUACGUGCCAGCCGCCGCGGUAAAAC
rnacentral:rRNA from 1 species